rnacentral:rRNA from 1 species
ACUCCUACGGGAGGCAGCAGUGGGGAAUCUUGGACAAUGGGGGCAACCCUGAUCCAGCCAUGCCGCGUGAGUGAUGAAGGCCUUAGGGUCGUAAAGCUCUUUCGCCUGUGAUGAUAAUGACAGUAGCAGGUAAAGAAACCCCGGCUAACUCCGUGCCAGCAGCCGCGGUAAUACGGAGGGGGUUAGCGUUGUUCGGAAUUACUGGGCGUAAAGCGCGCGUAGGCGGAUUAGUCAGUUAGAGGUGAAAUCCCAGGGCUCAACCCUGGAACUGCCUUUAAUACUGCUAGUCUUGAGUUCGAGAGAGGUGAGUGGAAUUCCGAGUGUAGAGGUGAAAAUUCGUAGAUAUUCGGAGGAACACCAGUGGCGAAGGCGGCUCACUGGCUCGAUACUGACGCUGAGGUGCGAAAGUGUGGGGAGCAAACAGGAUUAGAUACCCUGGUAGCGUCGUC